rnacentral:tRNA from 1 species
GGCGCCAUGGCUUAGUUGGCAAGCGCCUGUCUAGUAAACAGGAGAUCCCGCGUUCGAACUCCGGUGGUGCCU